rnacentral:rRNA from 1 species
UACGAAGGGGGCGAGCGUUGUUCGGAUUUACUGGGCGUAAAGGGCGCGCAGGCGGCUUAUUUUGUCAGGCGUGAAAGCCCCGGGCUUAACCUGGGAACUGCGUUUGAUACGGAUGGGCUAGAGUUCGGGAGAGGAGAGUGGAAUUCCCAGUGUAGAGGUGAAAUUCGUAGAUAUUGGGAAGAACACCGGUGGCGAAGGCGACUCUCUGGACCGAUACUGACGCUGAGGCGCGAAAGCGUGGGGAGCAAACAGG